rnacentral:rRNA from 2 species
UGCGAAUGCUGACAUAAGUAACGAUAAAGCGGGUGAAAAGCCCGCUCGCCGGAAGACCAAGGGUUCCUGUCCAACGUUAAUCGGGGCAGGGUGAGUCGACCCCUAAGGCGAGGCCGAAAGGCGUAGUCGAUGGGAAACGGGUUAAUAUUCCCGUACUUGGUGUUACUGCGAAGGGGGGACGGAGAAGGCUAUGUUGGCCGGGCGACGGUUGUCCCGGUUUAAGCGUGUAGGUGUGUGUUCCAGGUAAAUCCGGUUCACUUUAACACUGAGGCGUGAUGACGAGGCACUACGGUGCUGAAGCAACAAAUGCCCUGCUUCCAGGAAAAGCCUCUAAGCAUCAGGUAACAUCAAAUCGUACCCCAAACCGACACAGGUGGUCAGGUAGAGAAUACCAAGGCGCUUGAGAGAACUCGGGUGAAGGAACUAGGCAAAAUGGUGCCGUAACUUCGGGAGAAGGCACGCUGACAC